rnacentral:rRNA from 1 species
GUUCCUGGCUCAGGACGAACGCUGGCGGCGUGCCUAAUACAUGCAAGUCGAACGAGAGCGACCGGUGCUUGCACUGGUCAAUCUAGUGGCGAACGGGUGAGUAACACGUGGGUAACCUGCCCAUCAGAGGGGGAUAACAUUCGGAAACGGAUGCUAAAACCGCAUAGGUUCUACAGUCGCAUGACUGAAGAAGGAAAAGAGGCUUCGGCUUCUGCUGAUGGAUGGACCCGCGGUGCAUUAG